AUGCCCUCAAUAAAUAAGCGAGCGAGGGUGGGAGUCAGACCCCCUAGUCCUGACUGCCGGCCUGAGCCCUCCUCCGUAGGACCCUUUCCCCCUUGGGAACCGGCGGCGGUGACGGUGGCAGGGAAAAGAGGCGCUGCGGCUUUAAGAUUUCUCCUGGGCGUCCGGUUGCCAAGGCGCGGUUGCCAGGGGCUGCGUAGGGCGGUGUCCAGGCCUAGCACGCGGUUCCGCGCUUCCGCCGCCGUCGCCGCCGCCGCCACCGCCCGGCCGCGGGCUCGGCUGCUCCGAACCGUCUGGCGGACUUGGCACCGGCCCCCACUCCUGGUGCCCCCGCGGUGCGUGGCAGGCUGCGGCUUCAUUAUCCUGAUUGAUUCCUCCUGCUCCCCGACACCGUGGGGGCCCCGGCCGAGGAGGGGGGCGGAGGCAGCAUCUGCGGGCCCCUUCCCGGCUCGCCGCCCGCAGCCCGGCUCGCAGCGGUCCUGGCGGCCCUUGCCCCUGCCCAGGAGGAUGCGCAGGGCUGGGGUGCAGAAGGAGCGCGGGGACAGACUGAGAACUUGGCGGAGAGCGAGCCUGGCAGAACGGAAAAGGUUCAUCACAGUAGAAGCAGCCCCAGUUUGGGAGGGAAGACGCCAGGGAGGGUGUUUCCCUCUGGUAAGCGGAGGCACUCAGUGCAUGGGUAGGGACCGGCCAGGCUGUGCAGGACUCCUGGCCAAGUGGCCCUGUGCAUGGCUGCCUCAGUCUCCCCGCUGGCCAUCCCCGCUGGCUGCCCUGUCCUCAGCCCCUCAGUGCCACUUCCUGCUAAUAGGAGCCACGUGGGCCCCUCACCGUGGUGUCUCCAGGCAGAAGAGGGAGCCACAGCCGCCUAGUGGCUGCCAGGGAGGCUGGCAGGAAGAGGCAUCUCCACCAGGCGUCUCCUGGGAAACAGCAAGCUCCCCAGAGAAGGGACAUUUGCAAAUAAAAGUCCUGCCUGCGUUGUGUGCUUCGUGUGUGCGUUGGGUGGGAGAGGAGUUAAGAAUCCUCCCCAGCCCCUCAUCUCCUCUCCUCAGGGAAGCCUUUCCCAGCAGCUCUCCUGCCUCCCUUUCGGCUCUGCUGGGUCUGGACAGUGGCCUUCGAUUCAGGGUGUAGGUGGGGAGAGCCCUGGGUUAAGUGUCAGAGACCCCCCCUUCCCCAGGCCUAGGUUGUUCCUCUGUAAAGUGAGGGUGCCAGUUGAGAUCACCCUAUCACUCCCCACCCUCCAGGGGCUGCCCCAGAGGCCCUGCCUUCCUGUACUUGGGACAGAGCUCAGAGUUCCUUGCAUGACCUUGACAAGUGGCUUAAUUCGGCCUGGCCUUUGCCUCGAGCCUGUGCACCUGGUAUUUCAAAGUCAGACCCACAAAAGAGGUCCAGAGGUUACGGAGGUCCCCAGGCCCCAGGCCCGCGGCUCCUUCUUGCUGUCUUGCACCCGGGGCCACUUGCCUGCCGUGUCUUUUCAUUGGUGACCGCUUCUCGAAGGACCCUCUUCCCAUAGUGUCCCAAACCACGCCGAGGGAGCACCAUCACACCUCCUGGGAAACAGAGGCAUGGGUGAUGUCCCUGCGCCCUCCAUCCUCACCUCUGCCUGCUCCCUGUGCUGUCCCUUGCUCUAGAGGGACGAACCCAACCCACGCCCAGCCCACCACGCCUCCCCAGUGAAGUGUGCCGAUGGGAAGGGGACGAAAUGUGUUCUGCGCGUGCGCGAACCCCGCAUGGAAAAUGUCAUCGCGAUGUACUGCAAGCAUGGACUCGUAUAAAACUUUUUUUGAGCCAGGCUCUCACUAUGUAGCUCAGGCUGGCCUUGAACUCACUGUAUAGUCCAUGGUGGCCUCAAACUCAUGGAGAUCCUCCUGGUGGGAUCUCUAGGAUCCACAUGCCUCCCAAGUGCUGGGAUUACAGGUGUGUACCACCACACCCAGCUAAAAUUCUAUUAAAAUGAGAUACUCAAAAUGGGGACAGGGGCACUUUGGAACCCCUGUGCACGGCUGCCUCAGUCUCCCCACCGGCCAUCCCCGGCUGGCUGCCCUGUCCUCAGCCCCUCAGUGCCACUUCCUACUACUAAGAGCCCCGUGGGCAGAGGUCCGAGAGGCCCAAGUGAGAGCAAGUGGCCCUGUUCCGUGUAGAGUGCCCUCUCCCCUGGUCUCAUCGCCUGGGGACCCUUCCUGAGGGUAGGGGAUGUGAGGGAGCUCGCCACGCGGAAGCAGCCCCCACGGUCUUUGGGGCAGCCCUGUGCAGGAAGGGGCUGCCCUCUGAGGAGGAAGCACUGGCAGCCAGCCCUCAUCUGCCCUCUGGCAGGGACCUCGGAGUGGGAGGCGAGAGCACCGGGAGGGCGUGGUGAUCUGGACUCUCCCUCGUCACCUUUAUCGGUCCUGCUGCGUCCCAGGCGACAGGCUCUGUCCCGGUUUGGCCUGGACUCUGGCACGCUGUCCCCACCCCGCUCGCGAACCGCAGGGCUCGCCUUCUGUUCUGACAGGGAAGGAAACUGAGACUCGGCGUUAUGUAACUUGGCCAAGGUCACACAGCUCAUCAGGAGCGAGGCCAGGCUCCCAGCCCGGCCCGGCGGCCUCCGCUGGUUCUCCCUGCUGCCAGCAAGUCCUCCUCCCGGAAAAGCAAGUCUGGAGUUGGGGUUGCAGUCAGAGCUAUCAGGAUCCCCAGAGGCAGAUCUAUUGUCAUCUGCCCUCCUCUUCCUCACCCAUCUGCCAGACAAGUCGCAGGUGAGCCCCCCGCCAUGGCCCCUGCCCCAGCCCCAGCCCCAGGGGCCAGCGCAGCCCUGCCUGGCUCCCCGCCUCUGCCUGGUGCCCCCAAGGUGGUUCUGAGGUCACCCCACACCCCAGCGCCUGCUCCCUGCGCCUCCACAUCUCCGAAUGUUUGGGGAAAGCAGGACAGCAGAGGAGGUCACUUGAAGGUUGGAAGGGGGCUCUGGUUAUGGGCCAAGGAUUGGGGGGCCUGGCUGUUUCCCUCCACCCUGAGGAGCCCUUCCCCCACGCCACCCCCUCACCCCCAGAGACAGCCCGAGCUUUGCUUAGUUAAUGAAAUACAAAGGAAGGAAUCAAGGCUGGGGGCGGCUCCAGAGCCCUGGAAAGCGAGGGAGAGGAGAAAAGUUGGGUCUCUUCCAAAGAGUUAAUGUUCCACAGUAUGAUCGAUUAGGUGUCAGAUGUAAUUUCAAACCAAUACAAGAUGAAUGGCAUAAUUUUCCCUCUCUCAUUUUAGACAGAAUUAAGAAUCCAUUAGCUAACACAAAUUUUUGGCAAGUUUAAUAGGAGCUCAAAUCUACAUUCGGAGGAAACGCUCCCCAAAGCCUGUUUCAGGCUUUGACUUCUGGGCCCCCCCCCCGCCUCCAGCGUCCUCGGCUCCUUCCUCGGCUCCUUCCUGUCCCCUCGGCAGCCUGCCCUGUCCCCAGCCCCGCGAGAGAAGUGGCCUGACCCCUGCACCGAGGGAGGUGGCCGCCCACCAUUGUCCUCAGCGUGUGGGGGCGGGGAGGGCCGGCAGUGCUCCCACGAAGUGUCGGGGUGGGGAGGUGGCUGAGUUGGUCUGGGCUCCUGACAGACAGACCGGGAGAAAGCUGAAUGGAGCGCCAGGCCCCUGGAGCCGCAGCUACUCUUCACUUUCACCCCGGAAGAGCUGUCUGUGUCCCCGACAAAGCAUUACCUAGUUCACAGAGGGACACCAACCCUAGGCUCAAUUUCCCUCGAUGACACGCAUCAGUCCAUGGCUACACCUGAGAUGUGGGGAGAUCUGCAGUCACCUCAUUGCAUACUAAGGAAACUGAGGCUGGGAGGGGCUGGUUGGAAUCAGCUGGGCCAAGAGGGCUGUGGCCCUAAGGCACGAACCUCUGUGCCUCAGUGUCUUCAUCUGUAAAAUGGGAAGGCUCCCAGCUCAGCUCAUACAGAUCAUUUAUUUUCUACAGAGAGUUUAAUAUUUUUUAAGAUUCUGCCUUUAAAAGUAGUAUAGCCGGGGCUGGGCAUGGUGGCGUACACCUGUAAUCCCAGCACUCGGGAGGCUGCGGCAGGAGGAUCAUUGUGAGUUCAAGGCCAGCCUGGGCUACAGAGGAAGACCAUGUCUCAAAAAAUAAUAAUAAUUUUAAAAAUUUAAAAAUAAAGACAGCAUUCAUGACCAUCCAGGUAGAGGGGCCAAGUGUUUACUGUGUGCAAGGCUGGCAGGGAGACAGAGGUGAGAUGGAGCCCUGCCCUGAGAGGCCGGAGAGGCCAGGAUGGCAGUCAUGGCUGCUGACCCUUCGCAGACAUUUCCUCGAGUCUGCUAUGGGAGCUGAGUCUUUGCCCGUGGUAAGCUCCAGUGCAGCUCCCAACAGCCUGGGCAGAAGUUGCUGUCAUCACACCCAUUUUGCAGACCAGGAGAGGAAGCCCAGAUGGGCGCGGAUGGAGGAUGGUGGCGCGAAGGAGGUUUGUGUGAGGUCCUGACUGAUGAGUAGGAGUUUGCCAGGUGGGCAGGAGCAGCCCAGCAGCACGGACAGCAUGACCAAGGUCACGGGAAGAGGUCUCAGCGAGGGCCGGCGAGUCACUGCUGGCGAGUGCCAGCUGCACCUGUGCAGCAGGUUGGAGGGGAGCUGAGAAGUCCUUCCUGUCCUUCCUGUCGCCUGAUUCCUGCGUGCACUGUGUGCUGUGCAGGCUACGGCUUUGCCCACUGUGUGAUUCUGGGCGCGGGGCUGGGAUGUGGUUCGGUGGGAGAAUGUGGCCCGGCAUAAGCCAGGCCCCAGGUGCGAUCCCCGCCGCCGCAGAUAACAACAGGUACAGCCAGCCUCUCCCUGAGCCAGCAGCUCUUGUUUGGUUCCUUCUUCUUCAUGGCAGUAACUGUGGGAAGCAGGCACUGUUGCCCCAUUUUUCAGAUGAGUCACCUGAGGCUCCAACAUGGUCAGGAGAUAGAGACACAGCCAAAUUGCAAGCCCAGAUCUGAUACUGGAGCUCGCUGUGUCCUGGUGGGCAUCAGGGAACUCAGGGGGACUUUCUGGCAGCCUACUGAGUUGUUUUUUUUUUUUUUUUUUUUUAAUUUUUUUGUCUUUUUUGAGACAGGGUCUCCCUACGCAGUUCAGGCUGGCCUUGAGCUCACUUUGUAGCCCAGGCUGGUCUUUAACUCACAGUGAUCCUCCUGCCUCAGCCUCCCGAGUGCUGGGAUUACAGACCUGUGCACCACGCCCAGUUCUACUGACCAGAGGUGGGGAGGCAGUAGGAAGCCUCAGCUCUGGUCCAGAUGAAAGUUGCUGAGUGCCCUAGCAUACACCUGUGAUCUCACCACUCAGGAGGCUGAGGCAGGAGGAUUACCAAGAGUCUGAGGGCUACAUUAGUGACUUCAUGGCCAGCCUGCGCUACAGAGUGAGACAUAGUCUCAAAAAAUAAACAAAGGUUGUCCUGGGCUAUAUAUGGACCCAUCCCUCUGCUUUAACCCAGCAAAAGGGCCCCGAGGGAGCGGGGAAGGACCAGCAGUGAGCAGCUGCUGCUGGCUGUGCAGGGAGAAGGACAGAAAGAUGCUGAGGGGGCGCAUUAGGUCCUCUUAGUCCUCUAGAGAAGACCCUCGAUCUUUUACUUGGCUCCUUCACUUUAGGCAGCCCUUCCUGCUGCCUUACUCUCACCCCUCUGGCUGGAGUCACAGCCACCCCAUCACUGGCUUUGGGAAAGCUUCUGUACGGGGUGGUGGUACACUGGGGAGGCUGAGACAGGAGGAGCACCAAGGGGCCUUCCCCGGGCAGGUAGUGAGACCCUGUCUUGGAAUUAUAAAUGGGUGCAGUGCAAAACUGGGCAUCUGAAAUGAAUAAAUACUUCUCAGAUGGAGAAAGAGAAAUGGCAAAGAUAUGAAAAAAGUUCAAAAAAAAAAAAAGAAAAAAGUUCAACAUCACUCCUCAUUCAAGAGAUGCAAAUUAAAACAACACUGAGAUUCCAUCUCAUCCGGGAAAGAAUGGCUGUCAUCGAGAAAUCAACCAAAGAAAAAAAAAGAAAGAAAUCAAUCAAUAACAAGUGCUGGAGGGGCUGUGGGGAAAAAGGAACCCUACUCCACUGCUGGUGGGAGUGUAGACUGGUGCAACCCCUGAGGAAAUCAGUGUGGACAUUCCUCAAAAAACUAGGACUAGCG
rnacentral:lncRNA from 1 species